GAGGAAUGAGGAAAAUAUCUGAUCAGUCUGAUAUACCACUGAAGACUGUAAGAUCCAACUCUGACCUAAAACUUGCC
rnacentral:snoRNA from 2 species